UCACUGCAGGACCAGGGAGGAGGAACAGAAAAACGGGGCAGGAGGCAGGCUCCAUGACCUCUCCUUCAGCUGGCCCAGACCUCCUUCCCAGGUGUGCUGCAUGUCACCAUGCAGGAAGGUAGGACAAGAACAAAUUGUUCAAGAAGACCGGCCCAGAAAACUAAGUGCAGGUGACAGGAGCCGGCCAACUCCAAGAGACACAGAGCGGAUCUGCUCCAAGGCAGCAGCCGUGUGGCGCCCGGAGAUGGGCUAUAGUGGACUCCUUUCUGCACACUUCUUGUUCAGGCUGCUGAAGUUUCCCACCGUCUGGCUGCUGCAAAGCAGGCCUUCCAAAAAGCCCCACCCUUGGAGCCUCGAAGCCUUGGGCCCUGGAUACAGAAGUGGAGUCCAGAGCAAAGGAGGCUUCCUUUGCUAAGAAACUCCCUCUCCAAAAAGGUAUCCCAGGCUAGCCUCAUAAAUUUCUGGUCCUUCUGGGUCCACCUUCCAAGUGCUGAGAAUACAAGGAUGUGCCACCAGCCUAGUCUUAUGUGGUGCUGGGGAACAAACCGGUGCCACCAGCCUAGUCUUAUGUGGUGCUGGGGAACAAACCGGAGCCUUUGUAUAUGCUAGGCAGUAUGUGCAUGCCUGGUGCCUAUGGAAACCAGAAGAGGGCAUCCGAUCCACUGGGACUGGAGCUCCAGGUGGUGGUGAGUCACUGCGUGCGUGCUCAGAACAGACUCAAGGUCCUCUGCACAGCAGCAAACGCUCUCAACCACUGAGCCAUCUCUCCGGCUUCUCAUAAAACAGUCUUCAAAUAAUUUUCAGACAGGGUCUCUGUGUUGCCCAAAUUUGCAAAUCCCCUGCCUCAGCCUCCCCAGCAGCUGG